rnacentral:rRNA from 1 species
AAUUUUGUACAAUGGGCGCAAGCCUGAUCCAGCCAUGCCGCGUGAGUGAAGAAGGCUUUCGGGUUGUCCAGCUCUUUCGUACGGAGCGAACUCGAGCAGGCUAAUACCCUGCGUGUCUGACGGUACCGUCAUAAGAAGCACCGGCUAACUACGUGCCAGCAGCCGCGGUAAUACGUACGGUGCGAGCUGUAAUCGGAAUUACUGGGCGUAAAGCGUGCGCAGGCGGUUGAUUAAGACGGACGUGAAAUCCCAGGGCUUAACCUGGGAACUGCGCUUGUGACUGGUCAGCUAGAGUACGGCAGAGGGGCGUGGAAUUCCACGUGUAGCAGUGAAAUGCGAAGAGAUGUGGAAGAACACCGAUGACGAAGGCAGCCCCCUGGGCCGAUACUGACGCUCAUGCACGAAAGCGUGGGUAGCAAACAGG